rnacentral:lncRNA from 1 species
GUCCCAUGGUGGCCGGUUAAGAGGGCGCCUACUGUAUUAGCAUUUGCAAUUUUUUAAGUGACAUUUUCAAAUUAAAUUUUUUGUAUUUCAGUUUAUUUUUAUAGCACUUUAUAAACUCAUAGUUUAAUUGGUAAGUCAUUGGAGUGUUAAUCUAUAAGUAUUCACAAGGGACUUUUAUGAUUUUGUAAAUUUGAGUACUGAAAAUGCUUAGCAUUACUAAUUUUAAACACACAAAGAAAAUCAGAAAACAAGGAUUUUUAUUAGUGAAUUGUAAGUAAGGAUGGAGGUAAUGACUUCAAACUUCAAAGAAUUUUUAUUUUAAUUUGUAUUUUUUGAGCCACUAGAAGAGCUACAGUCAACAAAAACUGCCAACAUUUUCUGGUCUUCUAUUCAUAAAGACAAGCUUUUCCUUUUUGUUGAUUCAUGAAGAACCAACAAAGUUGAAGAUAUGGUUCAGAAACUAGAAAAUGUUGAAUUGACACUGUUCUUUAUCCAUGAUGGAUACGCCUCAUUCAUUCAACUGCUCAAUGUUUUCUUCUUCCAUCCAUACAAGAAGUUUGUGAAAUACGUCAUUGACACAGUUCUUAUAGCUUCCGAUUUCAAAAUCUGGCAACAAGAAAAUUUUAUUAAUCUUCAGUCACUAAUUUCCAAUUUACAGUUCCUCCAAAGUAUGAUCUGAUAUUCUUUCUACAAAAGUAAAUAUCUUGACAAUAAACCUGAACUGUCCAUUACACCUGUUGAUUAUUGCUUCAAUUUCAAUACUUGUGAAACAUGUCAUAAACCUGAUUAUCCAUCUUUACCUUUCUUCAAAUCUCACUGUUCUUCCCAUUUUUGUCGGAAUCACACAAUCAUCCUUAAGGUGCACAAUAGUUGCAAUUAAAU